rfam:Triticum aestivum genome assembly, contig: Triticum_aestivum_CS42_TGACv1_scaffold_471518_6AL
UAGAUACUCCCUCCAUUCCAAAUUACUCGUCGCAGAAAUGGAUGUAUCUAGAACUAAAAUACAUCUAGAUACAUCCAUACCUGCGACAAGGAAUUCGGAACGGAGGGAGUAUAAG